ensembl:misc_RNA Metazoa_SRP Metazoan signal recognition particle RNA
CCCGGGUGCGGUGGCGCGUGCCUGUAGUCCCAGCUACUCGGGAGGCUGAGGUGGGAGGAUCGCUUGAGCCCAGGAGUUCUGGCUGCAGUGCGCUAUGCCGAUCGGGUGUCCGCACUAAGUUCGGCAUCAAUAUGGUGACCUCCUGGGAGCGGGGGACCACCAGGUUGCCUAAGGAGGGGUGAACUGGCCCAGGUCGGAAACGGAGCAGGUCAAAAAUUGAGCUUCCCAUAUGAUCCAGCAAUCCCACUACUGGGUAUAUACCCAAAAGAAAGGAAGUCUGUACAUCGAAGAGACACCUGUACAUCUA